rnacentral:rRNA from 1 species
GGUUAAGCGAAUAAGCGUACACGGUGGAUGCCUAGGCAAUCAGAGGCGAUGAAGGACGUGCUAAUCUGCGAAAAGCGUCGGUAAGGUGAUAUGAACCGCUAUACCCGACGAUAUCCGAAUGGGGAAACCCAGUAUCCAAUGGAUACUAUCAUUAACUGAAUCCAUAGGUUAAUGAGGCGAACCGGGAGAACUGAAACAUCUCAGUACCCCGAGGAAAAGAAAUCAACCGAGAUUCCCCUAGUAGCGGCGAGCGAACGGGGAGCAGCCCAGAGUCUUAAUCAAUAGCAGUGUCAGGAGAACGGUCUGGAAAGUCCGGCAGUAAAGGGUGAUAGCCCCGUAUCUGAAGAUGCUGUUGUUGUGAACUCGACGAGUAGGGCGGGACACGUGUUAUCCUGUCUGAAUAUGGGGGGACCAUCCUCCAAGGCUAAAUACUCCUGAUUGACCGAUAGUGAACCAGUACCGUGAGGGAAAGGCGAAAAGAACCCCGGCGAGGGGAGUGAAAAAGAACCUGAAACCGUGUACGUACAAGCAGUAGGAGCCUCUUUAUGGGGUGACUGCGUACCUUUUGUAUAAUGGGUCAGCGACUUAUAUUCUGUAGCAAGGUUAACCGUAUAGGGGAGCCGUAGGGAAACCGAGUCUUAACUGGGCGAAUGAGUUGCAGGGUAUAGACCCGAAACCCGGUGAUCUA